CAGGUUUACCUGUGUGACUGCGUACCUUUUGUAUAAUGGGUCAGCGACUUAUAUUCUGUAGCAAGGUUAACCGAAUAGGGGAGCCGGAGGGAAACCGAGUCUUAAUUGGGCGUUAAGUUGCAGGGUAUAGACCCGAAACCCGGUGAUCUAGCCAUGGGCAGGUUGAAGGUUGGGUAACACUAACUGGAGGACCGAACCGACUAAUGUUGAAAAAUUAGCGGAUGACCUGUGGCUGGGGGUGAAAGGCCAAUCAAACCGGGAGAUAGCUGGUUCUCCCCGAAAGCUAUUUAGGUAGCGCCUCGUGAAUUCAUCUCCGGGGGUAGAGCACUGUUUCGGCUAGGGGGCCAUCCCGGCUUACCAACCCGAUGCAAACUGCGAAUACCGGAGAAUGUUAUCACGGGAGACACACGGCGGGUGCUAACGUCCGUCGUGAAGAGGGAAACAACCCAGACCGCCAGCUAAGGUCCCAAAGUCAUGGUUAAGUGGGAAACGAUGUGGGAAGGCCCAGACAGCCAGGAUGUUGGCUUAGAAGCAGCCAUCAUUUAAAGAAAGCGUAAUAGCUCACUGGUCGAGUCGGCCUGCGCGGAAGAUGUAACGGGGCUAAACCAUGCACCGAAGCUGCGGCAGCGAACGUAUCACUUAAAGCGAUUCAGCGGGUUACGAUUGACGGAGCGAAGCGACGUCAAAGCGUAUACAAAGUCGAGUCGGUUUAAGGAUACGUU
rnacentral:rRNA from 1 species